ACACACACACACACAUACAACCACACACAAACCACCACAGUAGAGGGGAACACAGCCACCCCAGCCUAUCAUUAAUAGAAAACCGUGUUCACUUGUUUACAUGGGAAAUAUCUUGCACAGCUCUUCAUGUGAUUGACAGCAUUUCUGUCAGAGUGACGCCAGGCUGAUAGCAGUGCACGAGGAGCUCCCAUAGAGCAGAGGCAACCGAGGAAAGCAGGUGUUGGCAUGAGGCUCACAGAAAUUAUCGGGGGAGAUCAUUUAUAAUACACAACUGGUGUAUCCAACAUGCCUCCAGUAGGAAAAGAGGGCAGGACAAUCAUCCACCGGGACAUUCAUCCACCAGGACAUUCAUCCACCAGUACAUUCAUCCACCGGGACAUUCAUCCACCAGGACAUUCAUCCACAAGGACAUUCAUCCACCGAGACAUGAAUCCACCGGGACAUUCAUCCACCAGGACAUUCAUCCAAAAGGACAUUCAUCCAAAAGGACAUUCAUCCACCGAGACAUAAAUCCACCGGGACAUUCAUCCACCGAGACAUUCAUCCACAAGGACAUUCAUCCACAAGGACAUUCAUCCACCGGGACAUUCAUCCACCGGGACAUUAAUCCACAAGGACAUUCAUCCACCUGCACAUUCAUCCACCUGGACAUUCAUCCAC
ensembl:lncRNA